UACUAGAGUAGCACUCGCAUAUCAAUAAGCGGAGGAAAAGAAACUAACAAGGAUUCCCCUAGUAACGGCGAGUGAAGCGGGAAGAGCUCAAAUUUGAAAUCUUAAAGGGUUUCCCUUUACGAAUUGUAGUUUAAAGAAGUGUUUUCUGUUGAGGUUUUGGUAAAAGUUCUUUGGAAUAGGACAUCAUAGAGGGUGAGAAUCCCGUAUUUGACCUUUACUUUCAACUUUGUGAUACACUUUCAAAGAGUCGGAUUGUUUGGGAAUGCAGUCCAAAAUGGGUGGUAAAUUUCAUCUAAAGCUAAAUAUUGGCGAGAGACCGAUAGCGAACAAGUACCGUGAGGGAAAGAUGAAAAGAACUUUGAAAAGAGAGUUAAACAGUACGUGAAAUUGUCAAAAGGGAAGCGUUUGACACCAGUGUUGUUUUUCUGAAAAUCAAUUAAAGAACUGUUUAUGCUAAGCUGUUUAGACUUUAUCAGCUAUCUGUUUAGUUUUGAGCUUUUCUUUAAUGCACUUUUCAGUUAACAAGUCAACAUCAAUUUCUUUUGCUGUAAAAAAGCUUGUGGAAGGUGGCUUGAGAUUCGUCUUAAGUGUUUAUAGCCUCUUGCCUAUGCAGUCGGAGAGAUUGAGGUCUGCAGCGUAGAUCCUUCGGGGCUAAAUGCAUUUGUGCUAAGUUAUAGCAUUUUAUAGACAACUUGUUGACUAUGAUUUGUCUUGUAGCUUACUCGCUUAUGUUAUUUUACCUACGCUUAGGAUGUUGAACUCUAUCACACACAG
rnacentral:rRNA from 1 species